UGCCUCCAACACAGUCCUCCUCCUUUUGACCCUGUCUGUCCUGUGACUCUGAGAUAGCCUCAGGAGCUGCCUUGAGAGACUCUCUGCUUCGUUCAUAGUUCACCAUUGUAGACAAACCUACACGCCUCAGAGGGUAACAGGCUUCUUGCUUGAAGAUCCCACUGCAAGCUUGACCUGGAGUUCUGCCUUCAUGCAGUGUUUGGUUAUGGUGAUGAAUGGACCCUAAUCCCAGCAUUUAUUCCAGACACUAUAAUCCAGGAAGGGAAGGCAAUUCCAUUUUUGUUUCAUAUUUAUUUCCCCAAAUUCCCUAGGGUGCUUUUGCAAAAUGGCUACAAUAAAUAAGCUGUGCUAUAGACUGUUGUAUAAUAAAAAUUUUCCAGGUUUCUUGCAAGAAGCACUUGAGGGUUGUAAGAAUUUUUUAUAGGAAAGCUGAUAAAUAAUGGAAGACUGUAGUUCUCCAGAAACUAUAGCAACUUGAGUCAAUGAUUGGAGUUGUUUUAUCCCUGAGAUGUAAGCUGGGUGGCUCUUUAUUCUGGGAAGGUCUUCACUUACCUGCAUCUCCUGGCAUGAUCUCAGAAACUGGAGAUAAGAUGUUCCAGAAAUCAUGGGAUCUUACCUAUAACAGGAUCUUCCAGAGACAAUCUGGGGGUGUUCCUGAAGUGGAGGACAAGAAAUAAAGGAAGAGUAGUUUCUCCUGCUGAAGGCUGUGAAGUACCCCCAGCUCAACCUGCAAAGCAGUCACAUAUAAACAAGACAAAGCUGAAUUUGUCCUGUUCUCAUAGUUUGUCCCUUCUGGUGAAGAGUCAUAGGAAGACACAUGAGAGGUCACUUGUUGAAGAGAGAGGUCAGGAGGUUAUUUUCUCUCUGGGCCUUUGGAGAACUCGGAAUGCCUAUGGCCUUUGCAUACAGGAAUCUGUUCUGGCUGCAUACUGCUUUUUGGGGGAUGGGGAGGGUGAAUUAGUAUAAAGAGUGGUGGUUUAUCCUGUGGUUUCAGUAUGUUUCUGUUGCUUGGGUUUUCUGUUUCCUAAUUGUGUAGUACUGAUAGCCAAAAACCCUCUGGAAAUUAUAGUCAAUUUACUCUUAACAGUAGCCUGUUUAGAAAGAAAGGGGUUAUUAAUGGUUUGGGCUUAUCCCCUACUAUAGCCUUCCCCCAUCCUACCACACCCCUGUGCCCAACAUCGAGGGCAUGCCAAAGAUCCCAGGGGAGUGCUGUGGCAGACACUCAAGCCUAGCUAUAUUCCAGGUCCAAGACUCUGGUAGUGAUUCCAACAUGCUGCUGAGAAUUUUGCCAGAUAUGGAUGCUCAGCCUAUGCCUGGACAAGUUCAAGAGGCCUUAUGUACCCAAGAGACCAGGAAGGUGUGAUUCCAUCUCCAAAAUCCCUAGACCUUGCCUCAAAGACCCCCACUUUCCUCCUGAUGGCAGCUAAUGCCUUGAGGUCACAAACCUUCUGCCUUCUGCAGUCUCAUGUCUUCCCCUCAAAGUAUUGACCAGUAUCCAAGUCAUGAAGGUGAUCUGUCAUGCUGGGAGGAUCUUUCUUAGUACUGAGGAGACUUGCAAGGUCUAGUUCCUUCUAGAUCAAAGAGUAACCACACCAGCAAAGCAGGCUUGCAUUUGUAGUUUCUGCUCAUGUUUAGACUUCUUUGGAACAAAAGGAAUCCUACUCUUCAUUAGGAAUAUUACCCUGCACUCCUAGGGUGGGCAAGAAAUCACUCCCUCCAUUGGGCUCAAUUCCAGAGCCCCUGAUUCUAUUGCCUUUGUCAAAAAGCUUGGCCUUUUUUAGACAUGAUGCUAGCAAGGUAAUAUUGUACUGAUUUUAUUAAUAUUUAUCAUCUGAUUAGAAAUUAUUUUAUUGCUUAGAGGUGGUGGUGCACACCUUUGAUGCCAGCACUUGGGAGACAGAGGCAGAUGGACCUUUGAGUUCAAGGCCAGCCUGGUCUACAGAGCAAGUUCCAGGACAGUCAAGGAUACACAGAGAAACUCUGUCUCAACCCCCACAAGGAACUUACUAUUUUUAACUUGCUAUAAAAAUUAAUGUGUUUGUUUGGGAUUGGAAUAUAAAAAAUAAAUUAAAAAAAUUAAUGUUUGUCA
rnacentral:lncRNA from 1 species